UGGGGUCGUGGUUAUAGAUAUGAAAAGAAGAGUUACUAAAAUAUUUCUCGGCCUUAUCGAACAAGCAAACAUUUUUGAAGGAACAGACCGAAUAAAAGCCACAUAUACGGCUGACUGUUCUUUUUGACAGUAGAGGUUUUCAACCAGUGUGGUUCAUAACACUCUGCUGUUGGCAACAACCGGCUUAUGGUGAAUCAGCUGUAGUGCAUUUAUUUGGGUAGUUGAAAAUUCAUUGUGAAAUAAAUUCAUGCUGUCGAAACAAUUGGUUUGACCCAUUCCUUCAAAUUGUAGCGGCAGAGACUAAAAGUCUGCACGUCCUGAUUGGCCUGCUAUGUCUAUGCAAAUUUCAGUGGGUGAUGCGUGCGCUUGAGUAUUACCCACAGUCCAGUGGAGGGUGGAGCCUGCGUGAGUUCGAACCUGAGUUUUAGUCCUUAGUAUUGGUAAAGCUCCAAAAUGGAAGUGGUUAUUUAACCUGCAUGGUAAACUUCACCUCUGCAGUUUCUAACACUUUUUUGUUGUCAUAAAUUUGUAGUCUCCCAGCCCAAGCCAAGAUAACAAAUGAUGACAUCACUAUGACAUCAUGGUCAUUUUCUCAGACUUGACAAAGCUUCUUCAGAGCCACAUAAUACAAGACAUUAUACAACUGUUUUCACAGUCUCCCUGUGACUCAUUGAUAGCAUUUUAUACGUAAAAUCAUUGGAGCGCCCCUUUAACUGUAAUCGAUCUUUUCCUAUAUACUACUGCAAUACUGCAGACACAUACACCAAUCAGUGUUUUACAUCCACAUCAACAAAUCUUUGCACUCCAGUUUUCAAGAGUGGUUUGUCUUUGCAUUCAUUGUGAGUGCAAAUACUGUAGCUUCAGCUCUAAAAACAAAUCUACAAAGCAACGCUGCAACUUAAACCCUUUUUAUUGGGACUGCCACUAAAAACAUUUCUACCUCAACAAGUCAAUUUGUUAUUUUCUUGAAACACAUAAAAGAACAUAUUGUCUUGUUAGGUAGAAAUG